UACGUAGGGGGCUAGCGUUGUCCGGAAUCAUUGGGCGUAUAGCGCGUGUAGGCGGUCCGGUAAGUCCGCUGUGAAAGUCGGGGGCUCAACCCUCGAAUGCCGGUGGAUACUGUCGGGCUAGAGUGCGGAAGAGGCGAGUGGAAUUCCUGGUGUAGCGAUGAAAUGCGCAGAUAUCAGGAGGAACACCAAUUGCGAAGGCAGCUCGCUGGGACGUUACUGACGCUGAGACGCGAAAGCGUGGGGAGCAAACAGG
rnacentral:rRNA from 1 species